UUAAGGAUGACGGGCGCAGUAAUGUUAUAUCGCUAAUUUACUGAAUGCUGUAAAAAACUAGUCAUCCUUUAAAAAAACCGUUAGACCGCUAAACUGUUAUUGGUGAAAUAGACUGUUUCGAAUAUUACUUUGUUACACAUCAAAUGUAUAGUGCCUUUUUGCAACCUGUUCCUUUUUUUUUCGCCCAGCUCCGUUAUUCCGUGAUGCGGAACCCUAGUUCCAGCAACUAUGGACUCGCUCUUGCCUAUUGGAAAGUAUGAUCGUAGGUUAGCGGCCUUGGCAAUGUUAUCGGGAUCGAUUGUUGCAAAAAAACAUACGCAGUGCAAGAGGU